UGAAGGUGCAUUGUAGUCGCAUUGUCUGUGCUCAUUUUAUUCGGCCAAUACUACUGCAAUGCAACCUUU
rnacentral:pre_miRNA from 12 species